AGAGUUUGUAACACCCAAAGCCGGUGAGGUAACCUUCGGGGGCCAGCCGUCUAAGGUGGGACAGAUGAUUAGGGUGAAGUCGUAACAAGGUAGCCGUAGGAGAACCUGCGGCUGGAUCACCUCCUUUNUAAGGAAUAUUCCGAACCUACCCACACGUCUAAGGUUUGUUUACUUUUGAGGGCUUAUGGUCAAACUAGGAAAUUAUAACUUUGAUAACUCGAUUUUAAGGAAUUUACUGAAUUGUAUGACAUCCAAGGUUACCCAUAACACCGUUUUAUUAUUGUAAACUAACUCACAAAUCUGAACUCCUGUAUAACCCAGACCUCUGGGAACUUGGUAAUUUUAGGCCGUUAGGUAAAUAUUAGGUUAAGUUAGGAAGGGCGCAUGGUGAAUGCCUUGGUACUAGGAGCCGAUGAAGGACGGGACUAACACCGAUAUGCUUCGGGGAGCUGUACGUAAGCUAUGAUCCGGAGAUUUCCGAAUGGGGCAACCCAAUAGUUUUAACCGACUAUUAUCCGCAUUUGAAUCUAUACACAGUGUGAAGGUAA
rnacentral:misc_RNA from 1 species